GGAUGUGAGGGUGAUCUGGAUGCGACAUCUCAGACCACUGAUCAUCAGAAUUGAUUCAGCUAGGCCAGGCUGGUGUCCCUUUCCCCUGUCACGGCUCAUUCCAUGUGUGUCCCUCCUGAAACUGCAGGCUUGUUGGAAGGAUUAUUUGGUCAAGGUUAUAGGAUAGCUGCUCUCUUCUGCUUCAACCUCAAAAAAAAAAAAAAAAAAAAAAGUGAAGGAAGGAUGGAAGAUUCAUUCAGUGGCUGCUCCCCCCAGCAUGGGCUUAGAGCUUUUAGCUCUAUGUCUAUACAU